rnacentral:rRNA from 1 species
GAGUUUGAUCGUGGCUCAGGAUGAACGCUGGCGGCGUGCUUAACACAUGCAAGUCGAACGGACUCAUAUUGAAACCUAGUGAUUUAUGAGUUAGUGGCGGACGGGUGAGUAACGCGUGGGGAACCUGCCUCAUACAGGGGAAUAACAGAUGGAAACGUCUGCUAAUGCCGCAUAAGCGCACACUGUGGCAUCACAGAGUGUGAAAAACUCCGGUGGUAUGAGAUGGCCCCGCGUCUGAUUAGGCAGUUGGCGGGUAACGGCCCACCAAACCGACGAUCAGUAGCGACCUGAGAGGGUGACCGGCCACAUUGGGACUGAGACACGGCCCAAACUCCUACGGGAGGCAGCAGUGGGGAAUAUUGCACAAUGGGGAAACCCUGAUGCAGCGACGCCGCGUGGGUGACGAAGUAUUUCGGUAUGUAAAGCCCUAUCAGCAGGGAAGAGAUGACAGUACCUGACUAAGAAGCCCCGGCUAACUACGUGCCAGCAGCCGC